CCUUACCUGGUCUUGACAUCCACAGAACUUUCCAGAGAUGGAUUGGUGCCUUCGGGAACUGUGAGACAGGUGCUGCAUGGCUGUCGUCAGCUCGUGUUGUGAAAUGUUGGGUUAAGUCCCGCAACGAGCGCAACCCUUAUCCUUUGUUGCCAGCGGUCCGGCCGGGAACUCAAAGGAGACUGCCAGUGAUAAACUGGAGGAAGGUGGGGAUGACGUCAAGUCAUCAUGGCCCUUACGACCAGGGCUACACACGUGCUACAAUGGCGCAUACAAAGAGAAGCGACCUCGCGAGAGCAAGCGGACCUCAUAAAGUGCGUCGUAGUCCGGAUUGGAGUCUGCAACUCGACUCCAUGAAGUCGGAAUCGCUAGUAAUCGUGGAUCAGAAUGCCACGGUGAAUACGUUCCCGGGUCUG
rnacentral:rRNA from 1 species